UACGCAGGGUGCGAGCGUUGCCCGGAUUUAUUGGGCGUAAAGGGCUCGUAGGCGGCCAACUAAGUCGGAUGUGAAAUCCCCAGGCUCAACUUGGGAACUGCAUCCGAUACUGGAUGGCUUGAAUUCGGGAGAGGGAUGCAGAAUUCCAGGUGUAGCGGUGAAAUGCGUAGAUAUCUGGAGGAAUACCGGUGGCGAAGGCGGCAUCCUGGACCGGUAUUGACGCUGAGGCGGCGAAAGCUAGGGGAGCAAACGGG
rnacentral:rRNA from 1 species